UCGUCUCCCCGACUUUACUUGGGCAAAGUGAGAUGGUUUGCUGCCGUUUAUCAGGUAAACUCAACAUGUUAGACUUCACAGCGUGUUCAACCUCACCACAGAAGACUGUGGUAAAAAGAAAACUAUAUGCUCAGCUUUCAUGGUCCUAUUUAUCAGUAUCUGAUCAACACACCAUUAAAAAGAUCAGAUUUUUUUAUUUAUCUAUGUUGUUUCUUGAUAUUACGGUGUAACAAAGCUUUUAAAUUCUUGUUGGUUUUGUGGUUAAAGUAAAUCUUGCGAUGAUGAC